rnacentral:rRNA from 1 species
AGUGAACGCUGGCGGUAGGCCUAACACAUGCAAGUCGAACGGCAGCACAGUAAGAGCUUGCUCUUACGGGUGGUGAGUGGCGGACGGGUGAGGAAUACAUCGGAAUCUACUUUUUCGUGGGGGAUAACGUAGGGAAACUUACGCUAAUACCGCAUACGACCUACGGGUGAAAGCAGGGGAUCUUCGGACCUUGCGCGAUUGAAUGAGCCGAUGUCGGAUUAGCUAGUUGGCGGGGUAAAGGCCCACCAAGGCGACGAUCCGUAGCUGGUCUGAGAGGAUGAUCAGCCACACUGGAACUGAGACACGGUCCAGACUCCUACGGGAGGCAGCAAUGGGGAAUAUUGGACAAUGGGCGUAAGCCUGAUCCAGCCAUACCGCGUGGGUGAAGAAGGCCUUCGGGUUGUAAAGCCCUUUUGUUGGGAAAGAAAAGCAGCAGGUUAAUACCCCGCUGUUCUGACGGUACCCAAAGAAUAAGCACCGGCUAACUUCGUG